rnacentral:rRNA from 1 species
GGAUGAUCCCGCGGCGUAUUAGUUAGUUGGUGAGGUAAAGGCCCACCAAGACGAUGAUACGUAGCCGACCUGAGAGGGUAAUCGGCCACAUUGGGACUGAGACACGGCCCAAACUCCUACGGGAGGCAGCAGUAGGGAAUCUUCCACAAUGGACGAAAGUCUGAUGGAGCAAUGCCGCGUGAGUGAAGAAGGGUUUCGGCUCGUAAAACUCUGUUGUUAAAGAAGAACACCUUUGAGAGUAACUGUUCAAGGGUUGACGGUAUUUAACCAGAAAGCCACGGCUAACUACGUGCCAGCAGCCGCGGUAAUACGUAGGUGGCAAGCGUUGUCCGGAUUUAUUGGGCGUAAAGCGAGCGCAGGCGGUUUUUUAAGUCUGAUGUGAAAGCCUUCGGCUUAACCGGAGAAGUGCAUCGGAAACUGGGAGACUUGAGUGCAGAAGAGGACAGUGGAACUCCAUGUGUAGCGGUGGAAUGCGUAGAUAUAUGGAAGAACACCAGUGGCGAAGGCGGCUGUCUAGUCUGUAACUGACGCUGAGCUCGAAAGCAUGGGUAGCGAACAGGAUUAGAUACCCUGGUAGUCCAUGCCGUAAACGAUGAGUGCUAAGUGUUGGAGGGUUUCCGCCCUUCAGUGCUGCAGCUAACGCAUUAAGCACUCCGCCUGGGGAGUACGACCGCAAGGUUGAAACUCAAAGGAAUUGACGGGGGCCCGCACAAGCGGUGGAGCAUGUGGUUUAAUUCGAAGCUACGCGAAGAACCUUACCAGGUCUUGACAUCUUCUGCCAAUCUUAGAGAUAAGACGUUCCCUUCGGGGACAGAAUGACAGGUGGUGCAUGGUUGUCGUCAGCUCGUGUCGUGAGAUGUUGGGUUAAGUCCCGCAACGAGCGCAACCCUUAUUAUCAGUUGCCAGCAUUCAGUUGGGCACUCUGGUGAGACUGCCGGUGACAAACCGGAGGAAGGUGGGGAUGACGUCAAAUCAUCAUGCCCCUUAUGACCUGGGCUACACACGUGCUACAAUGGACGGUACAACGAGUUGCGAAGUCGUGAGGCUA